AGGUGUUUCCUUCCUUUUUCACAAAGGUGAACGGAAUUCUCUCUCCUUGCCUCACUACAGUCUCUGAGGUCAGAAGCUCAUGAACCAGCACAUACUAGCUUGGCUUUUUUCAAGUUUACAAAUGAAACCCUAGAAAUACAGAAUGCUGCAGAGCUGAAGAUUCCUGCAGCCACAGUGACUCAUACACAAAACAAAGGUAUUGCAUUUGAUUUGGGUUUUGGCCUUUCAAUGUGCCACCUAAUCUGUUUUUUGCCUCCCCUCACCUCACUGAGUUCCACAUAGGAUAUCAGAGCCAGAAGCUGCAAAGCUCCCUGAGUGAAGAGAAAAGCUGAUUGAAUGCAAAAUAGAGCUGUUGUUUUAUUAAGGAUCCAUGAGAAAAUAUAACAGCUACACAGAAUGAAGAGAAGAUGCUACUGGUGGAUUGAAGCUCAGCUGUUACUGGCUGGUCUAAGUUUGAAGGGAAGCAAGCUGAUAUACAGCAAGGAAAAAUCAUAAAAAGAAAGUAAGAGACAAAGACAAAACAGUGAAGGAAGGAUGAAUUGACUCACAGUUCUUAAAGUGACCAGCUGGCAGAGAGAAAAUUUCUAAAGUUAACUUGCUGUCUCUGGGGUACCUGUGGAGGAGAGAAUGCAGUCGGAAUGAUAAAUUUAUUAUGUGUAAGGGCUGUGAGACCCUGUCUGGGACCUCAGAUGAAGGCUACGCAGUGGACCCAGGUGACUCAGGCACUGUGACCACCACACAUUCCAUCUUCCAGCUCCAACAUUACUGAACAGCCUGGAUUGACUCAAGCCAGAGAGGAAGUGGAGAAACUGUUCUCUAUCAAGAAAAUACUACAGGGAAAUGAUCAAAAGAUGCCAGUGAGCCAGAGAGCUUCCAGCUCCUCCAUCUCUCCUGGAGAAGGGGUGGAGAAGGAAAACAUACAAAAAGACAAGAGAGAACAGAAGAGAAGACAUAGACGAGAAAGAAAGAGACAAGGAGACAUAGAGAAAAAAAUGGAGAAAGCUGUUGCUCCUGAAGGCCAAAUGGAUAAAUGGACCAGUGUGUUAAUGAACUCCUUUUAGUGAACAUAUACUCCCUAGAGUACAGAGCUGGAUCUAAACUGUCAAUGGGUUGUGAUCUUUAGGUGAAUAAAGACACUGCAAAAGAGUCAAAGAAUUUUUGAGCUGAAUGGACCAUUCAAGAUCAACUAGUCCAAAUCUUUCAUUUCACAAAUGAUGAAACUGAGACCCAAAGAAGAGGAGCAAGCUUGCUAGAGAGGAACAUCCUGGGAGAAAGCCAUUUUGAAACCA